CUGCACACCUGGGCAGGGCACGGCCCUGACGGCAGCUGCCGGCCCCGCACCUGCCCCAAUUUAUGGGGCACUGUGGGCACUGCCUCCCCUUGUGCUGCUGCUGCUCAGCCCAGCCAGCUCUCCCUAUAAAUACGUUCAUGCCCCAGCCCAGGAAGUGCACAAAGCCCUGUACCUGGCCAAUGCCUCCUGGACGGACAGAUGGAUGGAUCCUCUUCCCAGUCUUGCUGCUCACUGAAAUUAAAUCUUAUGGACACGUGCUUCAAAUCUGCUCGUUUAUAAAGAAUUUCAUCCCUGUUAAGCAUGCUCGCGCUAAUUUUCCCUGUUAAUCUGACUUGUGUCGUGGGAGAGAAAUGCAGGUGGGUUUUUCCCCCAGUAUUUCGAGUGAUCCCAAUCCAUCCCUGCUUUGCUGGGCUCGCUCAGAGCCUGGAGCCGAGCUGGGGCUGCGCCAGGCGCUGCAGCAGGACGGAGCCAGCAGAGGGAAGGCGAGAGCGCGGGAUGCAGCUUCCCUGCUCCGCAGUCAUCAGGAGAGGGAAAAAUGGCCACUGGAUGCCUAUUAUUUUUUUCUAAAUAACUGUGAUCUAAUCAAGCUAACGAGCAAUGCAGUCUGCAGCCAUCCACCUGAUAGCUGUGUCAGAGGAAGCAGCUGGUCCUGCAGGUGUCUCCCCAUCCACAAACCUGGCUGUGGGGCUCCCACCAGCUGGCAGCUGCAAUUCUCAUCCAAUGCCCAGUGUCAUCACAACCACAGCCCCACCAGUACCUAUGCCACUGCCUGCUCCUGCCCCUCAUCCACCUUGAUGUGUGAGCAUUAAACCAUUGUACCAACAGCCGAACCAUCCUGGCUUGUGCAGAGCAUCCCUGCUGUCCCAUGUGCCAUGCUUAGCCAUGGGGACACAGCCAUUUCGGGGCUGAGAGCCACCAGAAAAGUCCUGCAGUGCCCGGCUCCCACUGGUGUCACCGCUCUGGGACACAGGAGGGGUGACAGGGCCCUGGCCCCAGGUGACAGGGUGGUGGUGGUGCUGUGUGUGCAGUGCCCUGGGCAGCUCUCUCCUGGCCCAGGUCCUGAGUGCCCAGAUCCAGCUCCAGGGAUGUUCAGGAAUAUAUUUAGGAAUAUUUACUCUGGAAGAUGGGAUCGUGGUGCUGCUCCAAGCUGUCCUUUUAGGUGAAGCGCAAACAGGUUCGUUUAAACAAGGUCAUCCCUUUAACAGGUUUAAGUGGGUUUCACUGUAAAAUAAAUUUAUUUCAACAAAACCUUUUUUGAUAAAUUAAACCAGCCCCACUCUGUAUAUAAUUUCUAUAAACAGUCUUCUCUAAUGUUUACCUAACCUGGGCACACAGAAACUCUUGCACAUUAAAUAUUAGAUGAAAAGGA